rnacentral:rRNA from 1 species
UACAGAGGUCUCGAGCGUUGUUCGGAUUCAUUGGGCGUAAAGGGUGCGUAGGUGGCGGGGUAAGUCAGGUGUGAAAUCCCGGGGCUCAACCCCGGAACUGCAUUUGAUACUGCCUUGCUCGAGUACUGGAGAGGAGACUGGAAUUUACGGUGUAGCAGUGAAAUGCGUAGAUAUCGGAAGGAACACCGGUGGCGAAAGCGGCGCGCUGGACCUCUACUGACGCUGAGGCGCGAAAGCCAGGGGAGCAAACGGG